rnacentral:rRNA from 1 species
AACGAACGCUGGCGGCAGGCCUAACACAUGCAAGUCGAACGAACUCUUCGGAGUUAGUGGCGGACGGGUGCGUAACGCGUGGGAACGUGCCCUUUGGUUCGGAAUAACUCCGGGAAACUUGUGCUAAUACCGGAUGUGCUCUUCGGGGGAAAGAUUUAUCGCCAUUGGAUGGGCCCGCGUCUGAUUAGCUAGUUGGUGAGGUAAAGGCUUACCAAGGCGACGAUCAGUAGCUGGUCUGAGAGGAUGACCAGCCACACUGGGACUGAGACACGGCCCAGACUCCUACGGGAGGCAGCAGUGGGGAAUCUUGCGCAAUGGGCGAAAGCCUGACGCAGCCAUGCCGCGUGAAUGAUGAAGGUCUUAGGAUUGUAAAAUUCUUUCACCCGGGACGAUAAUGACGGUACCGGGAGAAUAAGCCCCGGCUAACUUCGUG